rnacentral:siRNA from 1 species
UCGAUGCAUUCAACUUUACUUUAU